AUUGAACGCUGGCGGCAUGCCUUACACAUGCAAGUCGAACGGCAGCACGGGGGCAACCCUGGUGGCGAGUGGCGAACGGGUGAGUAACACAUCGGAACGUGCCCAGUAGUGGGGGAUAGCUCGGCGAAAGCCGGAUUAAUACCGCAUACGACCUACGGGUGAAAGCGGGGGAUCGCAAGACCUCGCGCUAUCGGAGCGGCCGAUGUCAGAUUAGGUUGUUGGUGGGGAAAGGCCUACCAAGCCGACGAUCUGUAGCUGGUCUGAGAGGACGACCAGCCACACUGGGACUGAGACACGGCCCAGACUCCUACGGGAGGCAGCAGUGGGGAAUAUUGGACAAUGGGCGAAAGCCUGAUCCAGCGAUGCCGCGUGUGAAGAAGGCCUGCGGGUUGUAAAGCACUUUCAGU
rnacentral:rRNA from 1 species